UUGAAGUCUCCUGCAAUUAUGAAGGAAGCGUCUGGAUGCUUGUUUUGCAGAGCGUUUUUGGCAUUCACUUUGACAGGAUGAGGAAUUCAGGGGUGCUAUCAAAAGAUUCUUUCUUUGUUGCUGCUGUAUUUUAAGAUAUUUUACUUCAAGGGAUUCUCCUGAUUUUGCCUUCGCCCACAUCAUCUAUGUUGGAAUAUUAGCAAAGACAACAUUUUGUUCUGAGUGUACUUAGCAGAAUGACUGAAGUUAAAAGCUCUAAAUGGAUUACCAUCACCUUACUUAGCCAUUAGGCAGCUUCUCAUGCUUGAAAAUAUGUCCAUACAUGGCCUUCUCUACUGUCAUGAUGCCAGACUUCGGUUGGAGGAACAACAUCUCAUAUACUGUCUGUGUAGUCUCCAGCCCCUUGCUAUGAACAUCGAAUUCUACAAUUUCCGAACACUCCUCCCUCCGCCGCUUGGGAAGUCGGAUCACUCCUCCAUCUUGCUUCUGCCAAUGUACAGGCAGAAGCUGAAACAAAAGGUGGUCGGACAAGAAAUGCGGCCGCGAUCUAUGCAGUCAGCAAGGCAGCACAAUGUGAAUACAGCAACAAGAUCCAACACAACUCUCCACCAACAACACAUGCAACUUAUCACAAGGUUGUACACCAGUGCAGACUUCAAAGCUAAGCACAGUGGUGCUGCCUCUCUCCCAGAUGAGGUAAUUUUUUUUUUUACGCUCGGUUCGAUUUCACCAACACUGAGCCCUCGAAGAGAGCUGCCAAAGUGACCUGCACCUUAGUCCUUACAUAUCUGGAGAAGAAGGAUGCUUAUGUGAGAAUGCUGUUCUUGGACUACAGUUCAGCAUUCAACAUCAUAAUUGCCUCCAGGCCUGACAAGACGCCAAGCUGGAUCCUGGACCUUCCACAGGGCACAAUUGAGAGCAUCACUGACUGAUGUGGGAACUGUACUUCUUUCAUUCACAGGACUCUGCAGAGAGUGGUGUGGACAGCCUAGCGCAGCUAGAGAUGUGAACUUCCCACUACUCCGGACAUUGACAGAGACAGGUACAUAAAGAGGGUCUGUAGGAUCAUUGUGGACCUGAGUCACCCCAACCACAAACUGUUCCAGCUGCUAUCAUCUGGGAAAUGGUACUGCAGCAUAAAAGGCAGAACCAUCAGGCACUGGGACAACUUCUUCCACCAGACCAUCAGACUGCUUAAUUCAUGCUGACACAACUGUAUUUCUAUGUUAUAUUGACUGUCUUGUUGUACAUACUAUUUGUUACAAAUUACUAUAUUCAGUAUCAGAAUCAAGUUUAUUAUCACUGGCAUGUGACAUGAAAUUUGUUAACUUAGCAGCAGCAGUUCAAUGCAAUACAUAAUUUAGCAGAGAGAAAAAUAAUAAUAAUAAAUAAAAUAAAAUAAAAUAAAACAUAAUAAAUAAACAAGUAAAUCAAUUACAUAUAUUGAAUAGAUUUUUUAAAAUGUGCAAAAACAGAAAUAUUGUUUAUUAAAAAAAGUGAGGUAGUGUCCAAAGCUUCAAUGUCCAUUUAGGAAUUGAAUGGCAGAGGGGAAGAAGCUGUUCCUGAAUUGCUGAGUGUGUGCCUUCAGGCUUCUGUAUCUCCAUCCUGAUGGUAGCACUGAGAAAAGGGCAUUGCCCUGGGUGCUGGAGGUCCUUAAUGAUGAACAUUUCCUUUCUGAGACACUGCUCCAUAAAGAUGUCCUAAAUUGCACAUUGCUCAUUUAGACAGGGACGUAAUGUAAAGAUUUUUAUUCCACAUGUUUUUGAAGGAAGUAAGAAAUAAUGUCAAUUCAAUUCCAUUCAAUUUUGACUGGCUGCAUCACUAACUGGUAAGGCGUGGAGGGGGAUGGGCGUGGUACCACACAAGAGCGAAAGAAGUUACAGAAAUUUGUAAAAUUAGUCAGAUCCAUCAUGGGUACCAGCCUCAGUAGUAUCCAUGACAUCUUCAAGGAAUUGUGUCUUAGGAAUGUGGCACCCAUCAUUAAGGAUCCUCACCAGCCAGGACAUGCCCUCUUCACACUGUUACUGUGGGAAAGGCGCUGUUACUGCCACAAAUUUAAGAAAUUUCACCACAUAUGCCGGUGAUAUUAAAUCUGAUUUUGAUUUAUGUACUUUUACAGUUGAUCAGCAAUGCACUUGUAAAUAAAAAGAUUGCUUAAUCAAACAAUAUAUUUACAAAAAUACUCAAGUAUUACUGAAAUAUUCUGUAUAUUAUCUGUAUAAUAAAUAUUCUGUUUAUUUAUAAGUGCCUUUCAGAUCUUCUUGAAUUUUUUUUUGGAAAAGUAAUUUUGAUUUAUCAUGCAUGUUGAACUUUCAGAUGUAUCAGAUGUCAUAUGUGCAAAUUGCUUGCACUGUCAGAUGUAAGCAAACUGUAGUUCAAUUUAUUAUAAAAGCUUGAGCAUUGAAUCACACAGAAUAGUAUAGUGUAAGUUACUGACUUGUAACCAAAUAAAUACUAGGAUCUAUCGUAGAAUUAAAAUGCAUGGGGGCAUCAGGCCAUCCUGCCAUAAAGUUUGCGCAGAAUAAAUGAAAUGUCCAAGGUUACAAAUUUGCUCCCUUUGUUUAGCUGAUUGUCUGUUCCACAUCUUCUUCACAUUCUGAUCACAAAAACAAAAUCUGCUCUGUGUCGGACUACAUAUUUAAUCUAUUUUUGAUGCAACUUCCUUUAAAAUGUAUAACUAUAAUUUGAUCUUAGGUUUUACCUAUUAGUCUGCUUGGUCAAUAUGAUUCCAAUGUACAGUUUAAGCUCUUAUUCUUGCAGUGGAUUAUUCAUUUUCUUCUGAUAUUGUUUCAGAAUUCAGCUCCACUUAGUUCUAUCAUUUCUCUCUGUUCUGGUUUUUUGUGUAUAUUGCACAAAAAAGCAAAUUGCAUUGUCUUAUUUUUGUCUUCCUUUGUUUUUUUUUCAGUUUUGUGUUUCAGUUUCCUUUAACAUUCACUUCAACUUGUGUCCUGCCCCGUCCUGUGCAAAAUGCAAUUCUUUUUGUCAAGGGAGAAAUGAUUAGAAAACAAUAUGGUUUGUCUCUGCUCACACAUGCUCAUUGUCUGAUCCCAGAGCUGCUUCUGCAGAUGUUCAAGGUGAAACCCUAGUAACUGACGGUUUCCAAUGAUGCACUGUAAUUUUGCUCAUAUAUAUUUCCCUAUGGUAAGGACUUGGCCAUAAGCAAAUUAAAGUGCAUUCGAACAAUAGCCAUCAACAAGGUGUUAGCAUUUUAGAACAGCCCUGUGUUCAGCUGUGCGUCUGUUGGGAGAAAAACGAUAAUUCAAAUCUGAGGUGAAAACCUUUUUCCUUUAAAUAACAGGCUAUUCAUACGCAGUACCCAAACAAUUGAGGAACUAGAUGCUGACAAAUUCUUUUGAUCUUUGGUUAAUAGAAAGAGUUUGAGAGUAGACACUAGAAAGUCAAUGAGAUGAAAGGGCACACAGGCUCCAGUGAUACCUUGUCCAGUGAUUUUACUUGUGCAUUUAUAUGGCUUUAAAUAUUUAGGAAAAAGUUUGGAAAAAAUGAGGCAAACACAGAUUAUUUAUAGUCAAAAACUGGAAUAUUUAUAAUUGGGAAGAAAGAAAAGGUGAGCAAGUAAACAAACUAUUUUGUAGAGAAAUGAAAUGGGAGGAAAUCAGGCAGUUAGAAUCAUAAAGAGAGAUUUUGGCACAUUGGCCUUUCUAAAUUGAAGUACUAAGUACAUUAUAUUGAAGUUGUAUAAGACAUUGAUCUUAUACUGUGCGCACUUUUUUGGUCACUUACCUGCAAAAAAAAAUCAAUGAGAUUGAAAGAGUACAGAGAAAAUUUACUAGAAUGUUGCCAGGACUUAGAGGACCUGAGUUAUAGGGAAACAUUAAUUAGGUUAGGAUAUUUUUCCCUGGUGGAUAGCAGAAUGAGGGGAUAUUCAACAAAGGUGUACAAAAUUAUGAGGGGUUUAGGGAAAAUGCAAACAGACAGACAUUUUCCAGUGAGGUUGGAUGAGACUAGAAGUAGAGGUCAUAGGUUAAGGAUGAAAGGUGAAAUAUUUAAGGGGAACCUAAAAGGGAAACUCUUCACUCAGAAAGAGGGUAGUGCAAGUGUGGAAUCAAUUGCCAGUGGAAGUGAUGGAUGUGGGUUUGAUUGCAACUUUUAAGGGAAGUUUGAAUAAGUACAUAAGAACAUAAGAAAUAGGAGCAGGAGUAGACCAUCUGGUUCAUCAAGCCUGCUCUGCUAUUCAAUGAAAUCAUGGCUGAUUUGGCCAUGGAUUUAUCUCCACCUACUUGCCUUUUGUCCAUAACCCUUAAUUCCCCUACUAAAUUUCUCGAACCUUGGCUUAAGUAUAUUUACUUAGUAGCCUCCACUGCUUCAUUGGGCAAAGAAUUCCACAGAUCACCGCCCUCUAGUAAAAGAAGUUCCUUCUCAACUCCCCCGAAUCUUGAGGAUACAUGAAUAGGAAGUGUAUGGAGAGCUACCUUCCAGAUGCAGAUCAAUGGGACUAGGCAGAAUAACAGUUCAGCAUGGACUAGAUGGGUCAAAUGGCCUAUUUUGACGCUGUAGUGCUCUAAGACUUAGAGUAACGUUGGAGAAAUUAAAGAAUCUGGGGUUGACCAUCUGCAUCUCAAAUUGUUAAAAAUGCCAGCUGGAGAGAUACUGGAAGUAUUGAUUGCUACCUUCUAAAAUUCUAUAGAUUUGGAAUCCUUUUUACACGGAAACAGUGUAUGGAAGUGAAGAAUGAAGCAGUCAAUGUGAUGCAUUGGUCUUUGAUAAAGUACCUCAUAAUGGUAUAGCAUGCAAAGUUAAAAUACUUGAGAUUGAUGGAAUGAAAAGAAUAGAUUGAAAAUAAACUGAUGAGCAGGAAGAAUUAAGUGUUGGCAGUCAGUGAAUAAAGGGGUCUGCAAGGUUAAGCCCAACUACUCCCAACACAGUUCAACCUUGAUAUUACAUGCUUUUUUUUCUAAUGUUUUAUAAAUACACCACCUACAUCUUGUGCUUCAAGAAGAAUAUAUUUGAAUGCAGAGAAAAAAGUCUAUACUUCACUCUCAAUGGGUGCAUUAUGUUGCAGGGUUUUGCAGCCUAUUUUUUCAUUAAAAUACAUUAAAUUUGCAAAGAGAAAAAUCAUGGAUGAUAUGACUGGGCAAAAUUGUUGAACACGUAUUCAAGUAUAGGCAAAUGGGGAGUCAUGAUGAUCAAUACCUGAGGGAUUUGUGUAACUGUCUGUAGAUCUGUUACCCAGUCAGAGUCAAUAUGAGGAACUUCACCAUAGAGGGAGGCAGUGUCUGUAAGACCCUAGCAUAAUAAGAUUCAAUGCUGUCGAACUAUACCAUAUGGAGAGUCAGUGCAUGUGAGGGACAAAGUCCAUGUCCGUAGGAUUAACUUGUUGGUGACUGUCAGUGUGUAGGACACACUCCACUGGGCAGAGUUAAUGUACAUGGGAGCAAUCCCCUAAAGGAAAUUUGGUAUGCAUCUGCUAUGUAUGGUUACAUUUCACAUCUCUAAGUUUUCAGUGUGCUUCCUUAGCACAGCUGCAUCAUUGUUAUCCACUUUAACAGGAAAAAAAAAGCAAGACAGGGUAUAGUUUAACUGGUGUUGCUGGACAAGUGGUUGUUGUCCUUAUACACCACUCAUUGAAAGUAUACUUUCUGAAAACAAGAGGCUAAGAAGACAAAUGUUAGUCUUGUUUGUAAGAGCUUUUGGGUAAAGGUGCAAUGUUGUGUCCCUACAAGUAUUACAGGCCCUCAGUAAGACUACACUGGGAGUAUUGUAUGUGUGUUUUCUUUACCUAAGAAAAGAUAUACUACCAUCAAAUAGAUGCAGCGAAGGUUCGCCAGGCUUUUGGAAUGGUCACAUGAGGGGAUAUUGAGUGAAUUAGAUUGAGAAGGCUGAGAGGACAGCAUUUGACAGGCUGCCUAGAGGAUGCUUCCCUGGCUUCUGGGGCCUAGAGCAAAAUGCCACAGACUUAGGACACAUAAUAAAACAUUUAAGAUUGAAAUGAAGAGGAGUUUCUUCAAUCAAAGGAUAGGGCUCUUCCACAGAUGGUUGUCAGGGGAAGAAAGGUUAUUGAAUAUAUUUAAGAAUUAAAUAGAUACCAAGGCUCAAAAUGAAUCUAGAAAUCUUGAGAGACAACAGAAAUUGAUAUUCUGAUGGAGGAUCAGAAAUGGUUUUAUUGAAUGUUGGAGCAUGCCUGAAGGACCCAUUGGUCUACUCCUACACCUAUUUUUCUGUUUUACUACACAGUUUUUUGAACUAGUUAUGUAUUAAAUGUGCUUGACCCCCAAUAAGAUGACUGGCUGAAGAUAGUUUUGACAUUUUAUGGAAAAACAGAAAUGGUUUCAUUUUGAAAUUAAUCAGUAAAUGAACGUGUAUUUUUAAACAUAGAAUAGUUUCUUGUUAAUCCAUAAGGUGUGGGGAAAAUGCCAACAUUGACAAUUGACUAAAAAUUUAAUUGACUUCAUAUGACAAGAUAUGAUUUAUUUGUUGCCUCAUCUCGUUAUAGAAAUCCAAUUUUGUUUCGAUAUCUGUGGUGAACUACAUGUACCUGUCUGGACACGCCCCUCUGCUGACUGCUCCUGUGGCUCCUCCCACAGAGCCCUGUAUAAAGGCAGUUGGAGGCACUGCUCCUCCCUCAGUCUCCAGGAUGUUAUGUGGUGGUCUCUUGCUACUAAUCGUGGUCUCUUGCAGCUAAUAAAAGCCUAUCGUUCGC